rnacentral:lncRNA from 10 species
GUCUGACUUCUCGGCGAUUUUUACGAUCUAACUUCGAGAUAAAACCCCUAUCCAUUUGACAUCUAAAUGUCAUAGCGACUUUUGGGAUAGUUUGCUAUCGACAAAGGGAGACAAAGUCAAGGGGUGAAGGGAAAGGAGGGCCAAGUAGAGCCUCCACGACCCUCGGCUUCCUCCUCACCAGCUCCCCCUCCCUCCAAGUCCAGUAAGAAGUUGGGCCAAGCUGGAAGGGAUUGACCGGGUUGCUUGUCUGGAGAUGGAGCCACUACAGGCGGGCCUGGGCGCCUGGAGUCGGGCAUGAAAGAAAAUAGCGCCUCAUCGCUCUUAUCUAAGCCCAGAGGUAUUUAUGAGCGUUUAUUCGUCUGAUCCGUUUGUUUGGGAAAAAGAGCAGGCGGGCAGGGCAGGCCAGAGACCGACUCCUUUCUGGAGCCAGAUCCCUACGAAUCUGUCUGUGGUUCGGUCCACCGCCCUCUGUCUGUCUCCUUGGGGGAAUAUGUAAAUACACAGCGGGCUCAGCCAUCCGCCAGUCUGGGGUGUCUCUCCCUGCCUCAAUGAGGAAGUGUGUGUUCAGAGAGAUGGAUAGAAGUGUGUACCAAUUCUUGAGUACAUAACAGAGGGAUUGUACAGAUACCCCACAGGCAGGAUUUAUAAUUGUAAUUUUCUAUGCUGUGAGUCUGCAGUCCUGUGGGCAAGCUAACACAUUCCAGCUCCCAGGAAAAUGUUUCCUAAGUUGUGUUCAGUUCGGGAGUAAAAUUCUUGAUAGGUAACCUCAGGAGGGAUAUUUGCGUGUGUGUGUGUGUGUGUGUGUGUGUGUGGUGUGGUGUGGUGUGUGUGGGAGGGUGCUGAGACAUUGUCCAGGCUUCCAAUUUCCUCUAAGCUAUAAAGCCCUCUCCCUCAGCUCUUUGAGGUGAUGAGCACCUUCUCCCACCACCCCCAACUUUGGCUGGGGUGGGGUGGGAUGAAAAUAUUUCAACUCAAUUCUCGUCCUGGACUCUGUUUCUCUGGGUUUGGGGAACAUAAAUAAAUGUUCCCAGGGGUACUGAGUGAUCACUCCCAUAGGUUGAGGGAGGCUGUUUAGAUGAGACACUUUGCCCUAAAAUCGGCCCCUCCAAAUCAAAGUACAAAGACUUCAUUUUCAUUAUGCAAAGGAGCGGCAUCCUCUUUGAUCUUUAGGGGAGUGAGCAGUAGUGCUGAACCCACUCUCCCGGUUUCCUACCCGCAGGUCCAGGGGACAACCUGAGGGCCCUGAAGUGUUUCAAUACCAUGUACCAGCUUGACUUCUCUACAUGUCCUUUGGAUUGCCCAAAAGCAAAAUCUCAGAGGGGCCAAGGACCUUCUAGGGCUGGCUCCCUCAGGGCCUCCUAUAGAGCAGCUCCUUGAGUCGGGCCUUAUAGCCACCAGAAAGUCACCUCGCCGCAGGAAAGCUAUAAAGAGCUGCUCCAGAGGCGCCGAAAGAGGGUGAGGGCUGCAGCCACAGUGUUUGUCCCCAGCACCACCAGGCCCCUUAACCUCGUCAGCUCCUCUAGCCCUCGGCCAGACUCUGGCAACACCUUGGUUUGCCUGGCACCGCAGGCAAUUUCCUGGAACCCCACCCCCACCCAGGAACGGGGACCACAGCACCUUUAAAGGAACUGCCAGAGCUUCCUCCUACGGCUUGAAAGCCCAAGCUAAUCAGUAACCCGUGAGACAGGGGCCAAUAUUCAAACGCUGCAGCAGAGGCGCAUAGCCUAGCCCUGGCCACCCCCUCUUGGGAAGGAGGUCGAGUUAAGCCGGUGUGGAGGGUCCAACAGGAACGGAAAUUACGACGGUGUGGUUCCUUAAGGAUUUGGCCCCAGUCCCACUACCAAAUUUUUCCCAAAUCAUAUUUAGGUAGACUUCGCUUGAAAAGAUCGAGAAUGGAGGAGGGGAUCGGCACUCACUUGCAGACAUCAACAGUUUCCAGAAAAUUCGGUUCAAUUCCUUCACCACGGACCCACCAACCAAGGAGCUGGCAAAACCCACUAACCAACCAGGAGAACACAGACCCGGUUUGUCUUUUGACAACCGAGUGGAACUGACGGGGCCGGCGCCUGCCCUGCGGGUCCCCUCCCUUGGCUGAGAAGAAAACCAAAUAAACCUUGAACAGCCUUGGCUUCGGAUGUCUCAAGCGGCCUCAUCCUCUCCCGCGCCUUGGUGGGGUGGGGGUGGGGAUGGCGGUGGGGGUGUCGGCUCUGAUCCCUCCACCCUUUGAUUCAGGGCCCCUGCCCGCUGGAAGCAGAAUUAGACCUUUUUAUAUAUGCCCUAGAGGAAGCCGCUUCCCUUGCCAGCCGCCAGGUUUGGGGCUAGGAUGGGCGGGGACGGGGGCAGUGGGAAAUUGGGGAUGAUGGGUGGAGGAGAGACUUCUGUUCUCUAACUCACACCGGGGAACCAAGAUCUAGCUGAGAGCGUCGGUGUGGGCCCGAAAUCCCCCGAAUCCCGUGGACCCUGCGAGGCCGGGGCUCCAGGCGUCGGGCACCUCUGGACAGUGUCGCGGGGCUUGCGGCGCCGAAGCCGCGUGUCUCCGAACGGACGGUAGAUGGCAGCAGACCGCAUAAUUUGGGUCACAGCGAACUGUCUAAGGGAGGAUUUAUAACCCUCCAAGACUACAGGAGAAAAAGACCUUUAGUAUGGGUGGGUUUGGGAAAUUUUUCCCUUGAGAAUAGUCCCCGAGUGCCGUGGGUGCUGGCGGAGAACUCUAGCUACGAAGCCCAGCGGUCCCUCCAGGCGCCCAGGCCGGGCCUGAACCUAGGGCAUCUACCUGGGGCCACAGAGCCGCCUCUUCCGCGCCACAAGUGGCAGCGUCGUCCCUCUCCUAGCUUAGGACUGAGAUAAUAAAUAUAUCCCCACUUCCAAAACGCCCCAGACCCUGUAACUCCGGGGCAACCAGAGGCCCGAGGCUGAAUGUCCUGCAUCUGGUCUUAAGAAAGAGAAAAGCAAUCACAUGUUCGUGCAAACCAGACUAAAAAUCACAAUUUCUCCUGCCCUCCACAGCCAACAUCACUUAUCUCUUGGCUGGAAGCUUCCCCAGAAGCUCCCUUACCCCAUUUUUAAGUCCUUGCCUCAAGGCUGGCACCUACUUCCACCCCACGAGCUACUUUAGGAAUCUCUGUCACCUGCCCAAUGUUCUCCGCCCUCCCCACCCCCUAGAAGGCCUGACUGAGGGAUAAAAUUGGACACCCGAGGGACGGGACUGUCUGAGCUCAGUGCCAGUUAGCUUUUCAGUUUAGACGCCGCUAGGUCCCAUAAUUGGAUUUUCUUUUUAUUUUCUUCUUUCAUUUCUUUCUCUUUUAUUUUUAUUUACAAGCCUAAAACAAAAAGGCACUUAACAGCUUCUUCACAAUCACCAUGUCUGGACCCAGGAAAGUUUGAAAUGUUAUCAUAUCAGACACACACAUGGCAAUUUUUUCCUCCACCGAAAUCCACACAUCCCAUACCAAUACAACGCAAGUAAUAGAAUCAGUAUCACGCAGAAACCAACAGCUGUAACCUACCGCAUUAAAACCACAAAACUGUCUCCCUGUAGAGCGAGGCUCCCUCCUGCGGGAGUGGCGAGAUACUUGGGCAUUCUCGGGCAGGCUUCCUGCCGUUUCCUCUCCCUCGCCGGCCUCGGCGGAGAUUCCAGGCCCUAUAGAAACCAGGACGUCCCUUAGCGCCACCGCCUCACAUGCCAGUGCUGCCGGGAACCCAGCGAUAUCCGCACCAGCGGAGAAGGUUCCAGGCUGCCGGCGGCGGCGCAGAGAGCGGGAAGAGAGGCUCGGAGGAAGCCCCGGGCGUGGCGUGGUCAGGCUCCGAGAGCGGCCGGGAUGCGGCCACACCGGCCUGGUAAACUCGCACCUCUUAGGAUCUUGCUCCCGGACUCAUUCCCUUCCCCACCCCCUAUUUUAAAGUUUUAUUUGGGUCGUCUGUAUCAAUUUAGAACGAGAUAAAUUAAGACAAAGAAAGUAAAAUAAAUCGAAAUAAAAUAUAGGAAUAGCUCUUGGCGAAAAUGUUUGCCGUGCGAGCAGGAAGCCGUGAGCGCCCUAGUUGGAGGCUGCUCUGCGCCGACUAAGAGGCCUCUACUCCCAGGCCUGGCCUCUACGCAACGCCACCCAAGAAGCCAGAGUGAAUUUGGGUGUUCAUUUUCCCUUUCCUUCCGCUCUUCCUUCAUGUGGGGCCUAGCAGCUUGGAUUUCAGCUCCGUCUUUGUGCCUGGGCUGCAGCCCAGAUCCAGAUCCCGCAGCUUGGUUUCCAGGCCUGAAUGAGGACGCGGGUUUGUGAAACUGUGAGGUUUUUGUUUUGUUGUUUUGUGAGCUUGUGUGACUAAGCAUGUGGGCUUCUGAGUGCGUUUACUUGGGGGCAAAUGUGAAUCUGUGUUUAUAAGCCAAUGUGUGAAUGUACGUUGGUAUCAAUGUGUCUGUGAGUGUGAAUGUGUGUUUACUUGUGAGCGUGUGUGAACAUGAAUGCCUA